AUGAGACACUCAAAGACAGAGAAAUUCCAACCAGCCGGUGGUUGGAAGUUUUUGGUCAUUGUGUUUGUGUUGGUGGUUGCAGCAGGGAUCAACACUCGUAUAAGAAGUUUUUCAACCGGAGUGGUGGUUGAAGUUUUUCGUCAGGUGUUCAAAGUUUUUCGUCAUUCUCUCAGUGGUUGCACGGAUGAAGAAGGAUUUUUCUGCAAAUUUCCUUUGUCCGGAGCGUUUUCUGUACUUUCUCUUCUGUGUAGAGAAAUCCAAGGAGGUGCUUCUCUAAUAUAUAUCAAUAUUCCCCUUCUUUUUUCUAUGCAAAAAAAAUUCUAUGCAAAAAAAAAGAUAUAG
rnacentral:rRNA from 1 species